GUUAUUGGCUGAUAUGCGUUCACUGAACGCCGUCUUUCUUCUUGGAGAUACUGCUUUGAAUAGCUUGAGGUUCUCAUGGUUCUGGAUCUCCUAACUUUGUUUUGUGGACAUCUAUAUAUUCAUUUUCCAAAUGGGUCAUCCAUGCUUGUGUCUCACUUUGGUGGCCAUACUCUUUUCUUGACUUGUCAUCCCCUUAUGCUCCACUAUGGUAAGUUAUUGCUUUUAUGAAAUUUAUCUUUAAUUUUAAUGGAUUUUUACAGCAUAAUUUCGUAGGA